rnacentral:piRNA from 1 species
UGACCUUACUUUGUGUGAUCACUUCCAUG